rnacentral:hammerhead_ribozyme from 1 species
AUCCAGAUGACGAGUCCCAAACUGGCCGAAAUGUGUAUCCUGGAU